rnacentral:rRNA from 1 species
GCCUACGGCCAUACCACCCUGAACAUGCCCAAUCUUGUCUGAUCUUGGAAGCUAAGCAGGGUCGGGCCUGGUUAGUACUUGGAUGGGAGACCGCAUGGGAAUUACAGAAUUAAUAUUUU